rnacentral:tRNA from 1 species
GGCCCCAUCGUAUAGCGGCCUAGUACGCUGCCCUCUCACGGCGGUAACACCGGUUCGAAUCCGGUUGGGGUCACAA